rnacentral:rRNA from 1 species
GGCGAACGCUGGCGGCGUGCCUAAUACAUGCAAGUAGAACGCACAGUUUAUACCGUAGCUUGCUACACCAUAGACUGUGAGUUGCGAACGGGUGAGUAACGCGUAGGUAACCUGCCUGGUAGCGGGGGAUAACUAUUGGAAACGAUAGCUAAUACCGCAUAAUAUUAAUUAUUGCAUGAUAAUUAAUUGAAAGGUGCAAUUGCACCACUACCAGAUGGACCUGCGUUGUAUUAGCUAGUAGGUGAGGUAACGGCUCACCUAGGCGACGAUACAUAGCCGACCUGGGAGGGUGGUCGGCCACACUGGGACUGAGACACGGCCCAGGCUCCUACGGGAGGCAGCAGUAGGGAAUCUUCGGCAAUGGACGAAAGUCUGACCGAGCAACGCCGCGUGAGUGAAGAAGGGUUUCGGAUCGUAAAGCUCUGUUGUAAGAGAAGAACGGGUGUGAGAGUGGAAAGUUCACACUGUGACGGUAUCUUACCAGAAAGGGACGGCUAACUACGUG